rnacentral:rRNA from 1 species
UACGGAGGAUCCAAGCGUUAUCCGGAAUUACUGGGCGUAAAGAGUUGCGUAGGCGGCAUAGUAAGCGGAGUGUGAAAUCGUGUGGCUCAACCAUACACACAUGCUCUGAACUGCUAAGCUAGAGAAUGGAAGAGGUCGCUAGAAUUCCUGGUGUAGGGGUGAAAUCCGUAGAUAUCAGGAGGAAUACCGAUGGCGUAGGCAGGCGACUGGUCCAUUUCUGACGCUCAGGCACGAAAGCGUGGGUAGCGAUCGGG